GACGAACGCUGGCGGCGUGCCUAACACAUGCAAGUCGAGCGGAGUCGAUCGACGGAAGCCUUCGGGCGGAAGAUGGUUGACUUAGCGGCGGAUGGGUGAGUAACGCGUGGGCAACCUGCCUCGAAGACCGGGAUAACAGCCCGAAAGGGCUGCUAAUACCGGAUGUGGUCAAGGAUCCGCAUGGAUUUUUGAUUAAAGGGGAAACCCGUUUCGAGAUGGGCCCGCGUCCUAUCAGCUAGUUGGUGAGGUAAAAGCUCACCAAGGCGACGACGGGUAGCCGGCCUGAGAGGGUGACCGGCCACACUGGAACUGAGACACGGUCCAGACUCCUACGGGGGGCAGCAGUGGGGAAUCUUCCACAAUGGGCGAAAGCCUGAUGGAGCGACGCCGCGUGAGCGAAGAAGGCCUUCGGUUGUAAAGACGUCUGUCUGGAGGGACGAAGGAAGUGACGGUACCUCCGGAGGAAGCCACGGCUAACUACGUGCCAGCAGCCGCGGUAAGAUCACGUGUA
rnacentral:rRNA from 1 species